AAUCACUCUUGGUACUUCAAAUAAUCUCUCUUCGUUCAUGUUUGCUAGAAGAAGAAAUUUAAUUCCUUUCUUUUAAGUGUGUUUUUUGGAUUGAAGGGAAGUAACGUUUAAGUUUGGGUAUCCUGUUUAUUUUAUUGGGUUGCCUAUUUGAUUGAUAACUUGACAUAUUUAUUGAAUUAUUUUCUUUCUGCUUGUGAUGACUCUACAUUCCAAGUGAAGAUUCAAUUUGGCUAUUGGGAAAAUAAGGGAGAAGAAGAGAAAACUUUUGGGUUUGUCGUUUGGUAGAUUUUGGUUCAAAUGGUUGUGUUAUGUGAACUAGAGAAGAAUGCUGUGCAAGCAAGCAAUAAUGUUACUAGGAAUUGUUGGCUUUUGCAUGUCUUCUUUUCUGGUUUUAAAGUUUAUGAAAGGAGCCAAAUUGUGAAUUUUCAAUUUCCACAACCUCUAGUUGGUUGAUUAGAAUUAGGACAUAACAAGAGAAAAAAUUUCUGAAUUGUCCAACUUACAGAAGCCUACAAUUUUCCCAUAAUUUGAAUAUUCUGUCAUUGGCAUUUUAAUAGAAAAGGUUAUGAAAAGAAAAAGAAGCUAAAAGAAAAGGCAGUAAAAUAUCAGAAUGGAUGAUAGCUCCACUAAGCUAAUCUAAAUGUUUUUCAUUAGUUUUAAAUAACAAACUAAGUGAAAAAACAAUGGAUGUAGCUCCACUAAGCUUAAACUAACACUUAGGUGAACUCAACUAAGCUACUUGAUCAUAGUUGAUGCUGAAGUAAAUUAAUCAAAUUCAUAAUAUACUGAAAUAGUUCUGGUUCCUAUAGACUAUUGUAUCUUUUAUUGGGGAUUACACUCUCUCUGUUUCUUGUUUCUGUUGCUUUGAAUUAUUUUUCUCUUUGGUCAGUCAAGUCCAUUACAUGCUUAGUAUCAGAACCAGUUAUUAUGCAAAUGCAAUUAGUAGCCUCCAAUGUGAUUUACUUUGUAUUUUUUUCUACUCACGUUAGUUUCCUUUAUCUGAUUCUUUCCCAUCUAUCCUACAGAGUCUUGAUCCCUUUUCACUAUUCCAUUUUCAUUGAUAAAAUAUUGAUGGGAUCGAAUUGCAUUAGUUGCCACUUUUAGUUUAUUGAUGGGUGCAUUAGCUACAUAACAAGUGUCUAUUUUCUAUUCUUUUGAUGAGGUAUGAUUUAUGGAUUUGUUACUAAUGUUUUAUCCCUUUUGUUCACAAGCUUUUGAAGUCAAAAUGGCAAUAAAAUGCUAAUUAAUAAACAUAUUUCUCAGCUUCAACCUUGCAUUAACUUAAUGAAGAACAAUUGCCUCCAUGAUUUUAGCCGCCUUCAACCCAAAUCCUUGAAAAUUCUUACUAUAUAAAUAUUAGUUUGAUUUCACUUUAUAACAAGACAAAAAUUAAGUCAGGGGAAGCAUAUUUGGGCCUCAUACUUUCUUUGAUUGAAGUUAAUUUUAGUCAUUAGUAGCAUUUCUUUAAUUUAAUAAAAUCCUAGAAUAUCUAUUCAUUUACUGCAUUUUGCUACUGUGACAAAAAAAAAAAACAAGAGUACUGAUAAUCCAGAACAGCCCCAUUUGUGUUACAGGUGACCACAAUGAAUCUAUGUUUGCCUUACCACAUAACUGAUUUCCUAAACAAUUUGCACAUUUCUCAUAGUAGUUUGUAGGUGGCCAAUAAGAAACCUACUCUAGCGCCUGGCAGGAUGUUGCUAGAGAUCCUUGUACUGAGAUUUAUUUGCUUGAUUGAAGUUCUGGACAUGAACAAUCUAUUCUGAAGGGGUCAAGUCGCAAAUGUUAUUUCUGACAGAUUUGUGGAAGGCAUUUCUAGAGGUUUUGUUGUCGUUUAGCUAAAAUAGAAUGUGCUAUUGCACACCCUAAUAGCUAGCACUAAAUCAGCUGGAUUAUUGGUACUUCUGAAUCCUGUGUCAGCAUACUGCUUCUUGGCUACGGUAUUGGUUUAUAGCCGAUUUUAUAUCUUUUAUUUUGUAUAGGCUUCUUUUGUUGUC
rnacentral:misc_RNA from 1 species